AGGGUGUACCCUGGGCUAAGCUAAAUCCACAGCUGCAGAAGGAAACAAUCCCUACUGCCUCAGCUGGUAAUUGCUGAAUCUGGCUGUCCUUGUUGAAGAUCCUUGUUGCUGAUCAAGGAGACAUAGGUGAGAAAAAUACUGGAUGCUUGAAGAACCUUUUCCUUCAUGAAUGAACUUCAUUACUGUACUAAUGACAUCUGACUGAAUUUUGGAGAUAGCUUUGUGUACUGCAGGCAAGGAAGUUGGCAGUGAGCACUGUCUGGAAAACAGAACUAGACCUCCAACAGCAUUGGUAGAAUAAUUUUUGCACUAUCCCUGAAAGUCUGUGUGAGAGAAGAGUAAAAGAACCCAGCAGAAAUGUAGUAACGAUCUAGGAUCAGAGAUUUCUAGUGAUAAAAGACAGUGCACACACACUCAGGUCAAGACCCUGAAGACAUGCUGAAGAUUUAAGCCACUGAAAUAAAGAAUGAAUGAUGCAAGGGUGGCAUGCUGGAACAGCGGAGUUUUCACCAUAAGCCUGAGUCUGAAUCCUUUAAAAAUAAUGACACAAAAACUGUAUUGUGCUCAAAAGCUACCCUCAGCUACAAUGAGGACUUGGUCUUAUUUCAAAAACUUCAGAAGGAAUGAAAUCAGCAUGUAGAAGUUGAAGUAAUCUAACUGGAGUACUUCAGUAGGAAGGUUUUCAAAAUGGAUGCCUGGAAACCACUUCUUCUUCUCUACAUUUUCACCUUCUCUACAGAGGCAGAGGAGUCUGGUAAUACACUAAAGAAAUUACUCUUCAAGUUAAUAGUAAUAUUCCUUUUCUACAUUUGCACCCAAUGUCAACAGGAAAUGAAGAAUUUAAGAACAUUUUUUCUAACUAUUAAUUAUAAUUAGGGAUAAUGUGGUCGGUUUUUAUGAAACAUAUAACUACAAUAGUAUAGUUUUCUUAAAAAUGCAAAAUUUAAUGGUACAGCUCAUUACAUUUUGUUUGUACAUGCAUGCUAAAGUUUCAUAUUUGCAAAAGUAAUAUAAAUCUCUUACAGUUAUAAGAGUGCCAAAAGCAAGAUAUUUAGCAGUUCCAUUUUGGUAGUCAGGUCUUCUGGAAGAUCUGUUUGAGAAGAGUUCUGCCCAGUUGCAGGAUAUUUUCUGCAUGACUGUUGAUUUGAGGAAAUAAUGACUGUUCCUUCCAUGCUCUGCUAGUGUUAUAUGCUUCUGGAAUUUGUGGAAACACAUGAGUUUCACACCUACUACAAAGAAAUAUGCUUAGUACUCCUUAUGUUAAUGUGAACUUAUUUUUUUCCCCCUCAGAAAAUAAAUAUUGAUUAGCAAUGUAUGCAUGCAGAAUGGAGAGCUCAAAGUGCAUGACUAACUUUUCCUUUGUACUCUUGAGAGCAGGCCAACAUAUUCCAAUGGUUGUGUUUCACAUACAGGAGCGUUUAAUAUGCGUUAACUGCAGAUAAGUUCUGAGCAGACUGUGAAUGAAAAUCGUGUUGUGGAUUUCAGCACCUCUCCCUUUCCCAUGAAUGGUGUUGCAGAAGGAUGUAGCUUCUGACCUUCUGUAUGAUAAUCAGGGGAAAAGGAACUAGUGGGUGACGACAAAUUAGCAGAAUAGAUGGAAGGGUUUUUCUGCAAAAGGCCAAUAAGUCUUGGAUUCUGAAAAGCAAUUAGGAUUCAAAAUUACUUUUCUAUUAGAUUACACAACCUUUAAGGAAAGAGGAAAUUUACAACAUAUUUCUUCAGUCAGCAGGAAAGCUUCCAUGACAGACAUCAUUUUCUUGGUAGAUGGAUUCUGGAGUAUAGGGACAAAGAACUUCAUGAUCAUGCACAAUGAUCAAUGGGAGGACAAAAUCUGUGUUGGUGUGAUUCAGCACAGUGAUGUGACAUACACUGAAUUCUUGUUGAACACUUUUCAUAACAAAAAUGAUUCCUUAUAGAAGAUACAAAAAUUACAUUACAAAGGAGGCACCAAAACAGGGCAGAGCCUCUAGUGCUAGAGAAUCACUUCAUAGCAAGUGCUGGUAGCCAUAAAGAGGCUUGUCCCAAGCCUUUUUCAGUGAGUACUCUGCUGAGAGGGUAGAGGAUGCAGCAAUGGCUUUAAGGAGCAAUGGGAUCUAUGUCUUUGAAGCUAACAUAAGGAUGAUAAAAUCCCCCUUGAGAACUGUUUUUAAUAGGUGAUGAUGCAGGGAGACUUCACAGUGAAAAAUCUUGGUGCACUGAAAAUCAUCAUAAAUAAUGUCAAUCAGGUCUGUUAAUGCAAACAUCUCCCUGGUCAGGGUAAGGAACAAACCUCUUGUUGGGUAUAUAAUGACAAAUAUCCAUACAGUUUUCUGCAGUCCCUGAUAAAAGUACCUGAGCUAACUGCACAGCAGUGCAAUUGUUUUACCAAAGAGUACUGCCCACAUUUAAAAUUCGGAGUUAGUACUUUACUUCAGUCAAGAGCCACUACACUCCUUCCUAUGGUAAAUAACUUCUGAAGUAAGACAGUGUUUCACAUUAAGCCCUCAUAGUUCCUCAGUGUCUGAAGGGAGCCAGAGCAGAUACCCCCAGCAGGUAUCUUAAUAAACAAGAGGGAAACAGGCAAUUCAGUGAUACUUUAAAAAGAACCUCCUAGAAACAUUGCUUUGCCAUGUCCAGCUGACCACACUGCUUCAGUGGGAUUGUCAGCAGCCACUGUCUGUCAACAAAACUGAAAUCUCACAGAGCCACUGUACAGCGAGCGCAUCAGAAAAUCCAUCCAUGGAUUUGUAGGAGGUAUUGGCAAGAUGUGAAUAACAAACCCAUGGUAAUAGUGAAGUGCUACCCAAAAGUUUUUCCUAGAUCAGAAACAGAAAGUGGUAUCUCUUACUACAUCUUUUAGAUGGCAACAGUGGAUUGGAUGCCACACAGCCUUGAGAGGCUGCCAACACCAGAGAAAAUAAAGAUUCAGCUAUGCCUCAGUUAACACAGCAACUUUUAUCAAAUAUCACAUGCUGGUUUUGGGUCUGAGUUUAUUCUAACUUGGUGCUGCAUUGCCAGUUGCCUUAUCAUGUGGGAAGACUGAAGUACAGAACAAACACAGUUGCUCUUUAACAUUACAUAUUCAUGCCAGCUAUGUAGUUUGAUAAUACUGUAGAUGUGUUUGUUAAGUUGCAAAAAAGGAAAAUGGAGGGCAUGACAAAUCAAAAAGCUGAUAUCUUCUGACUGGUGUAAGUGCAUGACAUUGGUUGGGUAUGGCAAGAAAAGACAGUUCAGGAGCAUUUCUUCUCUCUUUGCUUAUCCUUGUAGGACUGUGACUGUCCUUUAAAGCUCCUGUUGUUUUCCUGUGUGUUAUGUUCACAUAGAUGUGAUAUUUUGCAUGUUUGUUCUCCUUGUUAUGCCAUAAAAUUGAUCCAACCCAGUUCUCCAGGUUUUGUUCCCUUUGUAAUUGGAAACUUACUGAGAAAGGAAUCCUGGGAUGACCACGCUGCUUGUCCAAGGUGUUUUGUAACAACAGCUGAACAUCCUAGGCUAGUGAGAUCUUGAACACCCCAAAACUGGCUGGUGUUUGCUGGGGUGUUGGGGGCCAAAAUGAAGAGCUGAACUUUUCUUCCUAAAGGCAGAAGCAACCUUGUGUGAAUUAUAUCUGCUCAGGUAGUUUGCAGAGAGGACAGCUGGAUCUGAUUCAGUAUGAGCUCUUCCACCCACUCGUUAUCCCAUCAAGAGCUGAGCAGACUUCCAGGUGAAGAAGCAUUCCCUGGCUCCUGCAAGCAGAGAGAGAGGGCUGCUGAGGAAGGAGAGUGCGCUGCCAUGGAGCAGUAUGACCGUAGCUGACGCAGUAGCACCUCCUGGUGUUUCAUGGCAGGGAACAGGGAGAUUUAAUGGGAGAUACAGCAGUAAACUUUAUAUAUAUAUACACAGGUACACGCUUGUUUAGAGAGAUAGAAGUUAAGGAAAGCAUAUUGGGUUUCAUCUCAGUGAUGCACAUAUUUAUUGCUAAGAUCUGCAUAAAUUUGUCUCAUAAAAUGAAGAUCAGCUUUCUU